AUUGAACGCUGGCGGCAGGCCUAACACAUGCAAGUCGAACGAGUGGCGGACGGGUGAGUAAUGUCUGGGAACCUGCCUGAUGGAGGGGGAUAACUACUGGAAACGGUAGCUAAUACCGCAUACCAUCGGAUGUGCCCAGGUGGGAUUAGGUAGUGGGUGGGGUAAAGGCUCACCUAGGCGACGAUCCCUAGCGGGUCUGAGAGGAUGACCAGCCACACGGGAACUGGGCCACGGACCGGACUCCUCCGGGAGGCAGCAGUGGGGAAUAUUGCGCAAUGAGGGCAAGCCUGAUGCAGCCAUGCCGCGUGGAUGAAGAAGGCCUUCGGGUUGUAAAGUACUUUCAGCGGGGAGGCGUUACCCGCAGAAGAAGCACCGGCUAACUCCGUGCCAGCCGCCGCGGUAAUAC
rnacentral:rRNA from 1 species